CCCCCCGCUUGAUGGCUGCUGCCCCCCUGGCGUUGGCGGCCGGCGCCCAGGCCCCGCGGGGACGCGCGUUCUGCUCCGCGCCCUUCCCAGCUCCGCGGAAAGGGAGACACCGCCGGAACCGGGCGCCCCUGCGCUCCGAAUGCUAGAGACGCUUUAGCCCGGAGCGCCCUCGAAUAAAUACACUCUGAGGGUGUAAGUGUGGAGGGAUCUACUGGGGGCUGAGAAAAGGGCUUCCAGUCCCCCGCCUGGCCCCUGGGCCUCCCUUUCCUCCACCCUCUAGCAGGUCAGAGACUGGGAAGCCGCCGAAGCUGGAACCCACCUUGGGGGUUGGCAAGGUCUCCUGCGGCCCCUCAGGGGCACUGGCCGCGCCCUGCCCCUCCCCCCACACACCCUGCCAAAUUCACCCUGGCCUGGGCCAACUCCCCUUCCCGGGAGAGGUGGGCGUGCAUGGUUCUCUUUCCUUGCAAGUGUGUCCUUGUCGGCCAAGAAGAAGGCCGAAACUGUCAACUCCACCUCUGCCUUCACCCCUCAUGUCACUGUCCUCGAUGUGCGUGGGUGAGCUGGAAACUAGCGCCCACCCCAGGCGGGUACCCUGCUCGGCUAGGGCGUCAGGAUCCCUGAGACGUAAACAGAAAGCAGAGACGGGAAAGAAUUCUGGGGCCCGCGGCCAAUCCCCUCCUCGAGGGCAGAGGGACCAAGAGCACCCAUUUUCCAAGCCCACCCACCCAGA
rnacentral:lncRNA from 1 species